rnacentral:rRNA from 1 species
UACGAAGGGUGCAAGCGUUACUCGGAAUUACUGGGCGUAAAGGGUGCGUAGGUGGUUUGUUAAGUCUGCUGUGAAAUCCCCGGGCUCAACCUGGGAAUGGCAGUGGAUACUGGCAAGCUAGAGUGCGGUAGAGGGUAGUGGAAUUCCCGGUGUAGCAGUGAAAUGCGUAGAGAUCGGGAGGAACACCAGUGGCGGAAGGCGGCUACCUGGACAAUUGCGUGACGCUCAGGCACGGAAAGCGAUGGGGAGACCAAAAGGGUAGUUAGAAAAGCCCCUCGAUAGUCCCAGACCAAGUCUACC